rnacentral:rRNA from 1 species
CAGUCGCCACGGGAAUACAGAGGGUGCGAGCGUUAAUCGGAUUUACUGGGCGUAAAGCGUGCGCAGGCGGUUAUAUAAGACAGAUGUGAAAUCCCCGGGCUCAACCUGGGAACUGCAUUUGUGACUGUAUAGCUAGAGUACGGCAGAGGGGGAUGGAAUUCCGCGUGUAGCAGUGAAAUGCGUAGAUAUGCGGAGGAACACCGAUGGCGAAGGCAAUCCCCUGGGCCUGUACUGACGCUCAUGCACGAAAGCGUGGGGAGCAAACAGGAUUAGAUACCCGAGUAGUCCCUGUCUCUUAUAA